UUUUUAUUUUUCAAAAUUUGAAAUCUUAUCACAAAACCCCACUCCCCAACUCUAAACCCUAAACCCUAAACCCAAAAUCCUAAACCCUAAACCCUAAAUCUUAAACCCCACCCCUUAACUCUAAACCCCACCCCUAAACUCUAAACCAUAAACCCUAAACUCUAAACCCUAAACCCUAAACCCUAAACCCUAAAUACUAAAUCCUAAACCCCACCCCUUAACUCUAAACCCUAAUGUCUAAAUUAAUUUACCAUUAGGGUAUAAGUGUAUAUUUAUCUCUUUUGAUAAAAUAUUAAGUGCUAUUUUGGUCAUUUUUAUUCUUAGAGGCUAUAUUUGUGACAAAAACUUUUUUAGUGCUAUCCUAG
rnacentral:lncRNA from 1 species